rnacentral:sRNA from 1 species
AGCUCCAGCCACCUCUUUAAGAGGAAACUGCUGGGCAGAUGGAGGAGGGCUAGUUGCGGAAAGAAACUGGAGUGAAGGUGAGGACAGGGGACUGCUGUCCCGAAGGAGUCCCGCUGACCCGGGUCUUCGGCACCAAAUGUCUCAUGCGUCCGUGUCAAGAGACCACCAAACAGGCUUUGUAUCUUCAGUUGCUUCAGGCCAUUUGAACGUAUAUGAGCCGGUCGUAGGGGAUAUGAUGGCUUAGCUUGGGCUCAGAGGCCUGAAAAUCGCCCCCACCAAUCACCCGUUUCCCCCAAUCUACCCUCCUGAAGGUCACUGACAAAGACUUCAUUGUCUCCUAGGAGAGGCUGCCAUAUAUCCAGGGCUGACGUAAUUCCAUCUUAAUAUCAAUUACAUUAUAAAAAUUUACCUCGUGCCUGAGGCCCCAGAGCCCAAGGGUGCAAAGCAGUAAUUGGUCAAAGUUCAACCUCCCUCCCACUCUGGGCUCAGACUGUCCCCUGAGGGCCUGUGUUUUCAGUCUCUUUCCAGAACCUUGGUGUGAACUUAGGUCUUGGCGUCGGGAUCCCUUUUCAUCACACCCAG